rnacentral:rRNA from 1 species
UACGAAGGGGGCUAGCGUUGGUCGGAAUUACUGGGCGUAAAGCGCACGUAGGCGGUCUUUUAAGUCGGGGGUGAAAUCCUGGAGCUCAACUCCAGAACUGCCUUCGAUACUGAGAGACUUGAGUCCGGGAGAGGUGAGUGGAACUGCGAGUGUAGAGGUGAAAUUCGUAGAUAUUCGCAAGAACACCAGUGGCGAAGGCGGCUCACUGGCCCGGUACUGACGCUGAGGUGCGAAAGCGUGGGGAGCAAACAGG